CCUACUGGUGGCAGCAGUGAGGAAUAUUGGUCAAUGGACGAGAGUCUGAACCAGCCAAGUAGCGUGAAGGAUGACUGCCCUAUGGGUUGUAAACUUCUUUUAUAAAGGAAUAAAACGAGGCACGUGUGCCUGUUUGCAUGUACUUUAUGAAUAAUGAUCGGCUAACUCCGAGCCAGCAGCCGCGGUAAUACGGAGGAUCCGAGCGUUAUCCGGUUUUAUUGGGUUUAAAGGGAGCGUAGAUGGGUUGUUAAGUCAGUUGUGAAAGUUUGCGGCUCAACUGUAGAAGUGCAAUUGAUACUGGCAGUCUUGAGUGCAGUUGAGGUAGGCGGAAUGCGUGGUGUAGCGGUGAAAUGCAUAGAUAUCACGAAGAACACCGAUUGCGAAGGCAGCUUACUAAACUGUGACUGACAUUGAUGCACGAAAGCGUGGGUAUCAAACAGGAUUAGAUACCCGAGUAGUC
rnacentral:rRNA from 1 species